UACAGAGGGUGCGAACGUUGUUCGGAAUUACUGGGCAUAAAGCGCGCGUAGGCGGCGACGUAAGUGUAGGGUGAAAUCCCACGGCUCACCCGUGUGAAUUGCCCCGCAUACCGCGUUGCUGGAGUGUGGUAGGGGAGAGCGGAACUCCUGGUGGAGCGGUGAAAUGCGUAGAUAUCGUAAGGAAGGCCGGUGGCGAAAGCGAGUCUCUGGACAGUUACUGACGCUGAUGCACGAAGGCCAGGGGAGCAAACGGG
rnacentral:rRNA from 1 species